rnacentral:RNase_P_RNA from 1 species
CCAGACUAUCAGAUAGUCGCUUCAUGUUUCAUGGAGAGGAAAGUCCGGGCAGCACAGGACAAGACAGUUGCUAACGGCAACCGGGAGUGAUCCCAGGGAAAGUGCCACAGAAACAAUACCGCCCCGUACUCCCAAAAGAGAUGGGGCAAGGGUGAAAAGAGUGGGGUAAGAGCCCACAGCGGCGUACGGUGACGUGCGAAGAUGGUAAACCCUGUCUGCUGCAAGGCGGCUUGCUGCCGCUUUUUGUGAGCGGUGACGGUCCGUCAGGCAAGCCAAAAAGACCGCUAGAUCGUGCGGGUAACCGCGCGACGAGAUAGAUGACUAUCCAACGACAGAACCCGGCUUACAGGUAGUCUGGCAAA